rnacentral:rRNA from 1 species
UACUCCUACGGGAGGCAGCAGUGGGGAAUAUUGCGCAAUGGGGGAAACCCUGACGCAGCGACGCCGCGUGAGCGAUGAAGGCUUUAGGGUCGUAAAGCUCUGUUGUAAGGGAAGAAUGUCGUGGAGGAUAAUACCCUUUGCGAAUGACGGUACCUUACGAGUAAGCCCCGGCUAACUACGUGCCAGCAGCCGCGGUAAUA